rnacentral:rRNA from 1 species
ACACGACUACAUUAGAUACCCGGGUAGUCCAGGGUGUAAACGCUGCGGGCUUGGUGUUGGGGGUCCUUUGGGGGCGCCCAGUGCCGGAGAGAAGUUGUUAAGCCUGCUGCUUGGGGAGUACGUCCGCAAGGAUGAAACUUAAAGGAAUUGGCGGGGGAGCACCGCAACGGGAGGAGCGUGCGGUUCAAUUGGAUUCAACGCCGGAAAUCUUACCGGGACCGACAGCAACAUGAAGGCCAAGCUGAAGACUUUGCAGGAUUAGCUG